rnacentral:rRNA from 1 species
UCAGUGAAUCAUCGAAUCUUUGAACGCACCUUGCGCUCCUUGGUAUUCCGAGGAGCAUGCCUGUUUGAGUAUCAU